rnacentral:rRNA from 1 species
UACGUAGGGUGCAAGCGUUGUCCGGAAUUAUUGGGCGUAAAGAGCUCGUAGGCGGUUUGUCACGUCGGCUGUGAAAACCUGGGGCUCAACCCCGGGCCUGCAGCCGAUACGGGCAAGCUAGAGUUCGGCAGGGGAGACUGGAAUUCCUGGUGUAGCGGUGAAAUGCGCAGAUAUCAGGAGGAACACCAACGGCGAAAGCACUCUGCUGGGCCGACACUGACACUGAGGAGCGAAAGCGUGGGGAGCGAACAGG